rnacentral:rRNA from 1 species
UACAGAGGGGGCAAGCGUUAUUCGGAAUUAUUGGGCGUAAAGGGCGCGUAGGCGGCUUUGCAAGUGACGGGUGAAAUCCCUCGGCUUAACCGAGGAACUGCCUGUCAAACUGCAUGGCUUGAGACCGGGAGAGGUGAGUGGAAUUCCCAGUGUAGCGGUGAAAUGCGUAGAUAUUGGGAGGAACACCAGUGGCGAAGGCGGCUCACUGGACCGGUACUGACGCUGAUGCGCGAAAGCGUGGGGAGCGAACGGGGAUUAAGAAACC